UGGGGAAUAUUGCACAAUGGGCGCAAGCCUGAUGCAGCCAUGCCGCGUGUGUGAAGAAGGCCUUCGGGUUGUAAAGCACUUUCAGCGGGGAGGAAGGCGAUAAGGUUAAUAACCUUGUCGAUUGACGUUACCCGCAGAAGAAGCACCGGCUAACUCCGUGCCAGCAGCCGCGGUAAUACGGAGGGUGCAAGCGUUAAUCGGAAUUACUGGGCGUAAAGCGCACGCAGGCGGUCUGUCAAGUCGGAUGUGAAAUCCCCGGGCUUAACCUGGGAACUGCAUUCGAAACUGGCAGGCUAGAGUCUUGUAGAGGGGGGUAGAAGUCCAGGUGUAGCGGUGAAAUGCGUAGAGAUCUGGAGGAAUACCGGUGGCGAAGGCGGCCCCCUGGACGAAGACUGACGCUCAGGUGCGAAAGCGUGGGGAGCAAACAGG
rnacentral:rRNA from 1 species